rnacentral:pre_miRNA from 1 species
UGAUUACUCCCUCUGUCCGAAAAUACUUGUCAUCAAAAUGGACAAAAAAGAUGUAUCUAGAACUAAAAUACAUCUAGAUACAUCCCCUUUUAUUCAUUUUGAUGACAAGUAUUUUCGGACGGAGGAAGUACCAU